AAGUACUCCAAAUUUGUUGAGUUUCCUAAGUUCAAUGUAGUUCCAAAGAUUAAGAAUAGAGGGCAGGAUCAAGAUCAAGUGAAUGAAUCAAGGGAACUUCAGAAAACACCAACAGAUAAUGUCUUUCAGGUGGUUGUGAUGCGGGUUGCUAUUCAUUGUCAGGGAUGUGCUGGAAAAGUGAAAAAACUUUUGUCUAAGAUGGAAGGAGUUACAUCGUUCAGUAUAGAUGUAGAGUCUAAGAGGGUGACAGUGAUGGGGCACAUUUCUCCGGUGGCAGUCCUUGAGAGCAUUUCAAAGGUGAAAAGGGCAGAAUUCUGGACUGCUU